rnacentral:sRNA from 1 species
UACUAAACGGGAUUGAAAUGGAAAUCCUUUUUGUAUGCUCAGCUUAGUUUACCGAAGUAUCGAAGCACAAAAAGAUUGGAAUGUAAAGCCCGGAUAGCC